ACGUCUAACCAACUGAGCCACCCAGGCGCCCCAAAGCAGUUUUUUUUUUUUUUUUAAUCAGGAGAUUGACAUACAAAUCAGAAGGUCUGGCUUUCCCGGGUGCCUAUUCUCUGUUGGUUUCACAGGCUGGCACUGAGCAGGGCGCCCCCUCCAGGCAGGGCCGGGCUCUCCCAGAGGAGCUCGAACUCUGUCCUGUCCUGCCUACUUCUGUCAUUCCCACUGCCCGCCUGGCCACACGAGCCCCAGGGCUUGGGACCUGGUUCUGGCACACGCCCGUGGCCCCCAGAAUAUGUUCCUUUGGGUCCUGGCCCAAAUCUGUGCCAUUUCUGGACUCAGGAAAGGAUGGAUACAACCUGCUAUAAGCGAGGCAGUCUUACCCUGGGUCCUUCCGUUGCUGCCAACCUGCAGACGACAGAUGACACGUUUCUCCAAGGACGCCCAGACCGGACACGUAGAGCCUGUCAUGACGGCACUGGAGUCCCCGUCACCUGCUCCUGAGCUGCCAGGGAAGCCUCUCGGUCUGUCCGCCAUGCCCGGAGUCGGGCCAGGCGACCCCGGGGGCCUCAGAGCCUCCCUGGGGUCCCUCCCUGGUGGUUGCCAUGGGAACCAGAGCUGGGGCUGGGCAGGGUCUUUGCUCUUCACACCUUGCGUCUCCUUUCUCAGUUCUUGCUCAAGGAAUGUUUGCAGAGCACCUGUAACGUGCCAGGCCCCAUAUGAGAUAUGAAAGGACGCUAAGCGUCAGUCCCUUGCCUUAAAAAACUCACAGUUCAGGGAGGAGUCAAAGUCAGACCACAGGUGACCCUACAUCCUGCCUGGCUUUACAAUUCAAGGUCAGGGAGAGGCCCAGGCUAACGCUACAGGUUGAGGAAAGCAAGUGGAGUGAAAUCAGGAAGGUUCGUGGGAAAUACGGCUUUUGAGUUGGACCUUGAAAUGUUUCCCUGGGGGGAGGGGGGUCAGAGAGGGUGUUCUGGGCACGCGUGUGGUGGGCGAAGGGAGCAGGAGCAAAGGUGUGGAGGCGGGCAAGUACAGGGCGGGGAAGGGAGCCCAUCCAGCCGCAGGAGCAGACUCAAAGGAGCUGAUGUGCAGGACAUUCCUUCGGCCACGAUCAAAGAAAUCUGGGGAAGACCGGGCUGAUUUCCAAGAACGCAUAGAGAACACGGAAUUUUCCAAGUUGAUUUGUUCGCAGGCCCUUGCUCCACCCGCCCCCUUUUUAUUUGCAGCCGGCGGAGCACCCGUGGGGCUGGGGAGGGGGGUGACCGAGGAGGAGAUGGGAACAGCCUGGAACGGAGGCAAAGCCAGGUCAUGCAGAGUCUCCGGUGCCCAGCAGUGGCUUUACUGCGAGGGUACUGGGCACGGGAGAGGGUUCUAGGCAGAAGGUGACGUUACCUGGUUUGCUAACAUUUCAGAAAGAUGGGGGGCUGCUUGAAGAGGCUGGAGUGGGAGGGGCAAGGGGAGGGGUGGGAGGGAGAGGAUGAGGAGGAAAUCUUCAGCCCUUGGAUCCACAAGAGGAGGCGGGAAGGACAAGGCAGGUGGUUGCGGACGUGGAGAGGAGCCGGAGGGGAGAUUUGCUGGCCAUCUCAGGGCCUGCUGGCUUUUCUCAGGGGGAGAGGAGCCAAGGUUUCCCUUCCCAGCAAUGUGGAGCAUCCCAAGGGUUGCCCAUGUAGGAGGGCCACCCCCCCCAGCCCCCCACCAAGGGCACACAUAACGUCUGUUCUCUGCAGGGGAGGGAGGCCAACAAGAGAACUCCCUAGCUGCGUGUACUUGACCUCCCGUAUCUCCAUCUCUUCAGCUGAAAUGGGGAGAGAGACAGACCAGGGGCGCCACCAGGUUCAAGAAGCUGGGUAGCACCUUGUAGGUCUUCAGGGAAAGUUACUUCCGUGAUCCUUAGGCUAGCAGCUUCUUAGGAGCCAAGGUUCUGGAGGUGAGCUGCAAUCAAACCUUAGCUUUGCUCUGUGCCGAUUACGCAGCCUUGGUCAGGUGACCACUCGAACUCCCCGCACCUUUGUCUGAAAACGGGGUUAAUGACAGUGCUCCAUUCAGGUGUGGUAAUGAGUAAAUGAGAGAUGACGCUACAUAAGGUGCUACAGAGCGCCAGACGCGGUAAGUGCUCAAUGAAUAUUAGCUAUUGCUAAUUUUAAUAUUAACGAGGUUUUAUACUAUUGGCGAUCAAAGUCCAUUUGGAUUUAUAUUACAGAACUUUCGAACGCAAGUUUAUCACUUUGGGGUGCGUACAGUGACCCCUAUUUGGCUAUUACAAUAUUAGCAAGAAAGUCUUUGGGGGACUGGUCUUAGCCCAUUCGGGCUGUUGUGACAGUAUCCCGUAGCCUGAAUGGCUUAUAAAUAACAGAAAUAUAUUUCUUGCAGUUCUGGAGGUCCAAGCUUGAGGCACCCGCAGAUUCAGUGUCUGGUGAGGGCCUGCCUCUCGUUCAUGGACCGGUGCUUUCUAGCUUCAGCUACCAGUAGGGGAAGGGCCAGGGAUCUUUCCUGCCUCCUUUAUAACAAGGGCACUAAUCUCAUUCACAAGGGCUCCCCCUAACGACCGAAUCAUCUCCCAAAGGCCCCACCUCCUAAUCCCACCAUCGCGGGCCUUAAGAUGCAGUUUAUAAAUUUGGUCGGGGGGAUGCAAACAUUCCAGUCCAUAGCUGGGGCCCAUGUUAAUCACCGGAUAAUAAUGAUUUGUAAUUAAUGGCCUGUAUUUCAAAAUUUGCUUCUAAGUCCUUAAAAGUGUUUCUCCUGUCACAUAGUACCGACGAACCAUUAGACUAUGGACCCUGAUGCUUAACUUGCCGAGCGCGUCUCUUUACUGAGUAGCAAGGCCAAGGUCUAGGUCUGGCUCAGAGCCAUCGCCAGCCAAGAAUGAAAGAUAGCAGAGGGGCCGAGGCCGGGUCGGACCACUGAGAGCACCGUGCAGAGAAAUGGGCAGACACAGCCAGGGGAACCCCAAGGUCCUCUCCCCGGCAGGAGGCAGGGGCAAAGCUCAUGGCUCUAUGCCCUGAGUGACGAGAGCACAGGGACCUGGCGUCACCCACCAGCCAAGCCUCCAGCCACCUGCUCCUGGUGACCUGGGGUCUGCUAUGGCAGGUUCCUCGGCUAAUCAUCCACCAGACACAUCGUCGUCUUCCUCCCGAGUAGUGGGAUUGUAGGUGGGCACCCAGCCGCCCAGCUAGACUACACUUCCUGGCCUUUUUUGCAGUUGGCCGAGUUCUUGCCUUGCACUUUAUGUCAGCAAAAGUGGUGCGUGCUCCAUCUGAGACGGAGCCUCUAAGACAGCGGGCACGUUUCCUCCUCGAUCUCUUGUCACCUGCCUUCCGUCUACAAACAGGACAUGGCUGAGACCCAGCUUCACCCCGUAGAUGUUUACAACACCCGAGGGAAUGGUGGAGAAACGAGAUGGAAAGAACCUGAGUCACCAAACGACUGGGUGACAGGAUCCACUCACCCAAAGGUGUCAGCGGUGAGCUGAGGGGGGGAACAGAAUUUGUUCAAGACGCACAGCUCUAAAGAAUGGAAACAGCCUGCCAUCCAUCAUAACCAGGGAGACGGGUUAAGUAAGUGCAGGGCUCUUUAAACAGACCACCGUGCAGCCAUAUAAAAGAACAAAGAAACUCAGCUUGAGUGAAUGAAGAACUGUCUCCAAGAUACAUCACGAAAAAGCAAGGUGCAGACCGUGGACAUUGUAUGUGACCAUUUGUAUUAAAAUGGGUGAAAUAUAGGAGUAUAAAUACAUAAUUUUUUUUUUUCUCGAAUACAAAUAAACUCUCUCGGAAGCACACAAGAGCCCGGAGAACACGGGCUGCCUCCAGGAAGGAGGGCAGGAGGCAGACUUUUCUCCCUCUAUCCUUUUGUGGUUUUGGGGUUUCAAUCAUGAGAAUGAAUUAGCCAUGAAACAAUUCAUAAUUAUCACUGAAUAAAGAAUACAUUCCGGCUUAAAGA